rnacentral:rRNA from 1 species
CCUACGGGAGGCAGCAGUGAGGAAUAUUGGACAAUGGAUGGAAAUCUGAUCCAGCCAUGCCGCGUGCAGGAAGACGGCCCUAUGGGUUGUAAACUGCUUUUGUAUGGGAGCAAUAAGGUCUAUGCGUAGACUGAUGAGAGUACCAUACGAAUAAGCAUCGGCUAACUCCGUGCCAGCAGCCGCGGUAAUACGGGGGAUGCAAGCGUUAUCCGGAUUUAUUGGGUUUAAAGGGUGCGUAGGCGGUUUGAUAAGUCAGCGGUGAAAUAUUUCAGCUUAACUGAAAGGGUGCCGUUGAUACUGUCAGGCUUGAAUAUGGUUGCUGUGGGUGGAAUGUGUGGUGUAGCGGUGAAAUGCUUAGAUAUCACACAGAAUAUCGAUUGCGAAGGCAGCUCACAAAGCCAUUAUUGACGCUGAUGCACGAAAGUGUGGGGAUCAAACAGGAUUAGAUACCCCGGUAGUC